AACGAACGCUGGCGGCAUGCCUAACACAUGCAAGUCGAACGAUGCCUUCGGGCAUAGUGGCGCACGGGUGCGUAACGCGUGGGAAUCUGCCCUUGGGUUCGGAAUAACUCAGAGAAAUUUGAGCUAAUACCGGAUGAUGACGUAAGUCCAAAGAUUUAUCGCCCAAGGAUGAGCCCGCGUAAGAUUAGCUAGUUGGUGGGGUAAAGGCCUACCAAGGCGACGAUCUUUAGCUGGUCUGAGAGGAUGAUCAGCCACACUGGGACUGAGACACGGCCCAGACUCCUACGGGAGGCAGCAGUGGGGAAUAUUGGACAAUGGGCGAAAGCCUGAUCCAGCAAUGCCGCGUGAGUGAUGAAGGCCUUAGGGUUGUAAAGCUCUUUUACCAGGGAUGAUAAUGACAGUACCUGGAGAAUAAGACUCCGGCUAACUCCGUGCCAGCAGCCGCGGUAAGCAUACUCGUA
rnacentral:rRNA from 1 species